UGGCAGUCAGAGGCGAUGAAGGGCGUGCUAAUCUGCGAUAAGCGCCGGUAAGGUGAUAUGAACCGUUAUAACCGGCGAUACCCGAAUGGGGAAACCCAGUGUGAUUCGUCACACUAUCAUUAACUGAAUCCAUAGGUUAAUGAGGCGAACCGGGGGAACUGAAACAUCUAAGUACCCCGAGGAAAAGAAAUCAACCGAGAUUCCCCCAGUAGCGGCGAGCGAACGGGGAGGAGCCCAGAGCCUGAAUCAGCAUGUGUGUUAGUGGAAGCGUCUGGAAAGGCGCGCGAUACAGGGUGACAGCCCCGUACACAAAAGCGCAUGUGCUGUGAGCUCGAUGAGUAGGGCGGGACACGUGGUAUCCUGUCUGAAUAUGGGGGGACCAUCCUCCAAGGCUAAAUACUCCUGACUGACCGAUAGUGAACCAGUACCGUGAGGGAAAGGCGAAAAGAACCCCGGCGAGGGGAGUGAAAAAGAACCUGAAACCGUGUACGUACAAGCAGUGGGAGCACAGGUUUACCUGUGUGACUGCGUACCUUUUGUAUAAUGGGU
rnacentral:rRNA from 1 species